rnacentral:rRNA from 1 species
GGUUAAAGCCCGUAGAUAUUAGGUGUGGCAGGCAAAUCCACCAUACCUGUCGAAGGUGAUAGUACUGUGAUCUCUCGGGAAAGCAGAUAAUGAUCCUAACCAUACUUCCAAGAAAAGCCUCUAAUUGUUAAGUGCUAGCUAACCGUACCGCAAACCAACACAGGUAGUUGAGGAGAAUAUCCUAAGGUGUUCGAGUGAUUCGUGGCCAAGGAACUCGGCAAAAUAGCCCUGUAACUUCGGGAGAAAGGGUGCCUCGCUGAUCCUUUUUGGAGGGUCAGCAGGCCGCAGUGAAAAGGCCCAGGCGACUGUUUACCAAAAACACAGGACUUUGCAAAAUCGAAAGAUGAAGUAUAAGGUCUGAUACCUGCCCGGUGCUGGAAGGUUAAUAGGAGGAGUUAAGUUGUAAGGCUAAAGCUCCAAAUAGAAGCCCCAGUAAACGGCGGCCGUAACCUUGACGGUCCUAAGGUAGCGAAAUUCCUUGUCGGGUAAGUUCCGACCUGCACGAAUGGUGUAACGAUCUGGGCGCUGUCUCAGCCACGAGCUCGGUGAAAUUGGAGUGACGGUGAAGAUACCGUCUACCCGCAAUGGGACGAAAAGACCCCAUGAACCUUUACUAUAGCUUAACAUUGAUAAUAUGUAAAUAAUGUGUAGGAUAGGUGGGAGACUGCGUAAGCAGUCAUUGUUGAAAUACCACCCUUUAUCUAUGUGUUAUCUAAUCCUUUUGAAGAAGGAGACAGUGUUUGGUGGGUAGUUUGACUGGGACGGUCGCCUCCUAAAAAGUAACGGAGGCUUUCAAAGGUACCCUCAGCACGGAUGGUAAUCGUGCGUAGAGUGCAAUAGCAUAAGGGUGCUUGACUGUGAGACAAACAAGUCGAGCAGAGUCGAAAGACGGAUAUAGUGAUCCGGUGGUUCCGAAUGGAAGGGCCAUCGCUCAAAGGAUAAAAGGUACUCUGGGGAUAACAGGCUGAUCUCCCCCAAGAGCUCAUAUCGACGGGGAGGUUUGGCACCUCGAUGUCGGCUCGUCACAACCUGGAGCUGGAGCAGGUUCCAAGGGUUGGGCUGUUCGCCCAUUAAAGUGGCACGCGAGCUGGGUUCAGAACGUCGUGAGACAGUUCGGUUUCUAUCUAUUGCGGGCGUUGGAAUUUUGAGAGGAGCUAACUUUAGUACGAGAGGACCGGGUUGGGUAAACCUCUGGUGUAUCAGUUGUGACGUCAGUUGCAGUGCUGAGUAGCUACGUUUAUAAGAGAUAAGUGCUGAACGCAUCUAAGCACGAAACUCGCCUCAAGAUGAGACUUCAAUAAGGGUGGUCAAAGAUGAUGACCUUGAUAGGUUGCAGGUGUAAAGUUAGAAAUGGCAAAGCUGAGCAAUACUAAUUA